rnacentral:rRNA from 1 species
UACGAAGGGGGCGAGCGUUGUUCGGAAUUACUGGGCGUAAAGCGCACGUAGGCGGCUUUUUAAGUCAGGGGUGAAAUCCCGGGGCUCAACCCCGGAACUGCCCUUGAAACUGGAGAGCUAGAAUCUUGGAGAGGCGAGUGGAAUUCCGAGUGUAGAGGUGAAAUUCGUAGAUAUUCGGAAGAACACCAGUGGCGAAGGCGACUCGCUGGACAAGUAUUGACGCUGAGGUGCGAAAGCGUGGGGAGCAAACAGG